rnacentral:rRNA from 1 species
UAGGGAAUAUUGGUCAAUGGGUGAGAGCCUGAACCAGCCAUGCCGCGUGCAGGAAGACGGCCUUCUGGGUUGUAAACUGCUUUUAUCUGGGGAUAAAAAACCCAUGCGUGGGACAUUGAAGGUACCAGAUGAAUAAGCACCGGCUAACUACGUGCCAGCAGCCGCGGUAAUACGUAGGGUGCAAGCGUUGUCCGGAUUUAUUGGGUUUAAAGGGUGCGUAGGCGGUCUAUUAAGUCAGUGGUGAAAUCCAACAGCUCAACUGUUGAUGUGCCAAUGAUACUGAUGGACUUGAGUACAGACGAGGUAGGCGGAAUUGACAGUGUAGCGGUGAAAUGCAUAGAUAUUGUCAAGAACACCGAUAGCGAAGGCAGCUUGCUAGCCUGUAACUGACGCUGAGGCACG